GCUCUCAAUUCUCUUUGUCAGCCUCUGAGCAGGUAAGGGGGCUUCCAGUUUGUUCCUCGAUCCUGCCUUCUCCUGCCCCAUCCCUAACCUCUCCCCCUCUUCUCCUUUCCUCCACCAUAGGGGGCUGUGGUGUUGGGGGUGAGGAGAAGGCUUAUCAUAUUCAGAGCUGAGAAAUGGGCUGCAUUUCAAUCCCCCCUUCACAUUCCAUGUUCUUCAUUUAUGAAAAUAAUCACGCUUCUUGCACCCAGAGAUCUGUGCCUUCUUCCACCCUCAACUUGUUCUCUUGGCAUGGGGGCCGUAGGCCAGAUCACUGACAGGCUGGCCGGGUAUGUCCAUUGCAGUCUUGUACUUGGGACUUUGCCUCUGCUAAGCCUUUUUUUUUUUAAUGGCAGACUUGUUUCUAUGCAGCUGAGAUAGGAAACAAACAUACUCCAUAGUUGAGUGGUUAUCGCCUAUAUUCAUUAUUAUCUUUGUCAUUAUACGUGGUGAAUGAUGAUGAGCUAUGCAUUGUGGUGUGGGCACUUUUAUGUGUUUGCAAAUAAUAUAUAUCAUCCUGCAGUAGUUCAGAACAUAUUGUGAGCAACUUCCAAACUGUGCUUCAGUGCUGUGGCAUAUGCUGAGUAAAGAGCAAUUCAGAUUUGAUCUGGUCUUUUGGGAACUUGAAAUCUAAGAUAAGUACAUGUAAAUAGAGAGAGAUGGAAAUGUUAAACCAACAUUGGCACCCAAAAUGAAGCCUUUGGGGGAGGCGAUCUAAUUCACCGAGGGUCUACUGUAUGUCAGGAGGGGGUGUUGGGUGUGUUGUACCUGCCGUCUCAUUUCCCUCUGCCAAUAAGCUACAAGUUGGGGCUUACAGGUGAGGAAACCGUGAUGAAGAGAGGUUGCAUAGAUUGCCAGGGUCACAUGGCUAAUAAACUACAGAGUAGGUAAUGAACUAGAACAACAUGCCCUUUGGAAAUGUCAGGUUGCUGAGUCUGCUAUAUUCAGGACCUAGAAAAUCAUGGGGUUGUAGAGUUUGGGUGUGGGGAUGGGCUGAGAGAACCAGAGCGAAUGGCUGGGUAGAGGUGAGGAGAUAGGCUUUUAUUUCAUUCUAGAAUGAUGCAAUUUUGUAAAAACCAUGGACAACAUUUAGUGUAUUCUCCCUGUGUGCCAGGGGCUGACCUGUUACCUCUGCAUCCAGCAUCUCAUUUAAUCCUAACCUUUCUGAAGUAUCUGCUAUUAAGAGCCUCAUUGUAAGGAUGAGGAAACAAAGGCACUGAGGUGUUGCAUUCCUGGCUCAGGUCACACAGCGGCUGACUGACAGAGCCACAACUCCCAUGUGGGCUGGGCUGACUUCAGAGCUCCUUACAGGCAGGGCCAGACAGCCUCUCUUCAAUCUGCUUCCCCACCUGCUCCCAGCAAGGAGGGUGAGGCCCCAGGAUUGUGAGGUUCACCUCCUGAUCCCACCAGGGCUGAGAUGGAUUUCCAACCCCUGGACCUUUCCCCAGUGAGACCAUCCUGUUCUCUAGAUGCCCUCACUGAGCAUUUGUUCUGAAGUUCUGGUGUUUCCAGGCCUGGAGCAGGAGGAAUAAAGAGUCAGAGUAAUGAAGACCAUCUCCACCAAUCUCCAGCCUUCUCACCUUCCCCAGGCCUCUGGAUGUGUUUGCUGCCUGACUUAACACAUCUCUGAAGACAGCCCCAUGUUCAGAUGUCUGGGAGAGGUCACACCGAACACAAAUACACAUUAAGGUGUAAAUGACUGAUGUGAAGUUGUCCUUCGAGUGUGAGGGUGCGCUCAGAGCAGGGGCUGGGAGAGCAUGAGGUGUGGCUGGAACCGCGCAGGAGUAAGAGUGCCUGGCACAUCAUGGUUCAAAACAUGAGUCACCGUCAUCAUCGUCACCGUCAUCAUCGCCAUCCUCAGCAUCACCCUCAUCCAUAGCUUUGGGAGAGGAAUCUGGAGCAACAGCAGGAGGCAUCUGCGUACCUGAACCAUCAGCCACAGCAGUGCCAGGUUUAGCAAAUAAAAAUAUAAGCACAUUUACUCAUUAUUUAUCUGAAAUCCACAUUCCACUGAAUGUCCUGUAUUUUAUCUGGGAAGCCUCGUCAAUCAAGCCUCUCAGAAGCCAGGUCUAGAUCUCCUCCCCCAGCUUGAUCCUAACUAGGAUGGCCACGAGGGGAGGGGUCGGCAAGGAGCGGGGGAUGGGGAGGAGGCGGGGGCAGGA